rnacentral:rRNA from 1 species
GACGAACGCUGGCGGCGUGCCUAAUACAUGCAAGUAGAACGCACAGUUUAUACCGUAGCUUGCUACACCAUAGACUGUGAGUUGCGAACGGGUGAGUAACGCGUAGGUAACCUGCCUGGUAGCGGGGGAUAACUAUGGGAAACGAUAGCUAAUACCGCAUAAUAUUAAUUAUUGCAUGAUAAUUAAUUGAAAGGUGCAAUUGCACCACUACCAGAUGGACCUUCGUUGUAUUAGCGAGUAGGUGAGGUAACGACUCACCUAGGCGACGAUACAUAGCCGACCUGAGAGGGUGAUCGGCCACACUGAGACUGAGACACGGCCCAGACGCAUACGGGAGGCAGCAGUAGGGAAUCUUCGGCAAUGGACGAAAGUCUGACCGAGCAACGCCGCGUGAGUGAAGAAGGUUUUCGGAUCGUAAAGCUCUGUUGUAAGAGAAGAACGGGUGUGAGAGUGGAAAGUUCACACUGUGACGGUAUCUUACCAGAAAGGGACGGCUAACUACGUG